rfam:Daphnia pulex DAPPTscaffold_189_Cont6797, whole genome shotgun sequence.
GAUAGUGUCGCCGAGUGUUCUAUGGCGCUUGUUUUAGGCACCAGUCUCUUCGGCGGCAAGGGUUCAAAUUCCUUCACUGUCA